rnacentral:rRNA from 1 species
GACGAACCGUGCGAACGUUGUUCGGAAUCACUGGGCUUAAAGGGCGCGUAGGCGGGCUUGCAAGUCUGCGGUGAAAGCCUCCAGCUCAACUGGGGAAGUGCCGUGGAUACUGCGGGCCUCGAGGAGGGUAGGGGCAUCUGGAACGUUGGGUGGAGCGGUGAAAUGCGUUGAUAUCCAACGGAACUCCGGUGGCGAAGGCGAGGUGCUGGACCCUUUCUGACGCUGAGGCGCGAAAGCGAGGGGAGCGAACGGG